CCCUUAGAUGUUCUGGGCCGCACGCGCGCUACACUGACGAAUUCAACGAGUUUAUAACCUUUGCUGGGAGGCAUGGGUAAUCUUGUAAACGUUCGUCGUGAUGGGGAUAGAUUAUUGCAAUUAUUAAUCUUCAACGAGGAAUGCCUAGUAAGCGCAAGUCAUCAGCUUGCGUUGAUUACGUCCCUGCCCUUUGUACACACCGCCCGUCGCUACUACCGAUUGAACGGUUUAGUGAGGGCAUCGGACUGGUCUCGGCCCGCCCUUCACCGGUGCGGCGCCGCCGGCCGGGAAGACGCUCGAACUUGAUCGUUUAGAGGAAGUAAAAGUCGUANCA
rnacentral:rRNA from 1 species